rnacentral:rRNA from 1 species
CAGUAGCCGCGGGAAUACGUAGGGUGCAAGCGUUAAUCGGAAUUACUGGGCGUAAAGCGUGCGCAGGCGGUUUGUUAAGACAGAUGUGAAAUCCCCGGGCUCAACCUGGGAACUGCAUUUGUGACUGGCAAGCUAGAGUCUGGCAGAGGGGGGUGGAAUUCCGCGUGUAGCAGUGAAAUGCGUAGAUAUGCGGAGGAACACCGAUGGCGAAGGCAGCCCCCUGGGCCAACACUGACGCUCAUGCACGAAAGCGUGGGGAGCAAACAGGAUUAGAUACCCCCGUAGUCCUGUCUCUUAUACC